rnacentral:lncRNA from 7 species
AGUACAGCACAGACUUGUGAGGUGGAAGGCUGCGCUAAGCUUAUGCAGAGACUUCUAUCUUGCUCAUCAGUUUCUGCACGCUAAAUAUAUUCUGAAUUUACGAAUGCUGAAGUUUUAAGGUGUUAUCCCGAAGUCGGAUGGAAAAAAAGCCUGGAAGAAGCGAGAUGGAGCCGAAGCGGCAGCUGGAAAGUAUGGAAGAGAUGUUUCUGCUUUCCUGGGGCGCCUUUACCCUGAGCUGCAGUCAGAAACAUGCUUUGGGGAAAAAAUGCUGAACUCUUGACUGCUGUUAAUAGCCAUGGGCAGGAUAAUGGCUGUGAGAAGGGUGUGCUUCCUGCUGGGACAGGGACAGAAUGAAGCGCAGUUCACUGGAACUGCGGUCACUGACACGGGCUCAGAAGUUCCUUAUCUCUCCCGGCUGUAAUGGGGCUGGGGGAGAGGUGAGACACAUAGGGCAGAGAGGUUGUGAGAAACUGAGCAAGACCCCAAAGGAUAGCGUGAAAAGAAAGAGCCAAGUAAAUGCAAUCCUCGGUUCCAAUCAGGAAAGUUAGGAAAUGAGAUCUGAAACACCCUCCUGGGAGUCUGGUGUGUGCUGAAGAAGCACGCUGAAAGAAAUUCUCAUGCAAGCCGUGUCACUGUGAUUGUCAAAGAAACUGAGCCCUCACUCCUUUCUUUUGUGGCAAUUUUCUUUCAGACAGCUCCUGUCUUUUUUUUUUUUUUUCCUUUCCCCCCAUAAUAGAAAUGGAUAUCCUCAC